GGAGGAAAGCAAAAUUCUUAUUGGACUGAAAUCAAGUUAUCAACGUUGUUAAACCUGUUUACUGUGUGAGCUGGAGAACGUCAUUUGACCCUGAGAGCCCAGGUUUUCUCACCUGUGAAAUGGGGAUCAUUAGACCUACCCUUAUAGAGUUGUAAUGAUUCAGCAAGGUCAGCUAUGGAGGCUGGGAAGUGCAAAAUCAAGGCACGAGCAUGAUCAGGUUCUGGUGAAGACCUUCUUCCGGACUGCAGACUGCUAUCUUCUAAUAUUCUCACAUGGCAGAGAAGGAAACUUUUUCAGCUUUGUGACUAAGAGACAGCCAGCCUUUCAGCUGGGUGAGCUUUCCAGUUGCAUGAGAAAGAGCUUCAUCAGAAACCACCUACAUUCUUGCCAUUCAGAAAAAUAGAAAAAAAAGAAAGAGAAGAAUAUAGAAAGAAUUGCUUCUCCUCUAAAAAAAACAGUAAAAUUCUAUUGCAUAACAAUAAGGGAAUUAUAACCUCCUCAACUUGACCCUGCUGGUGAAGCCAGUUAGCACUGCAGUGACCAGGAUUCUAGUGACCAAGACUGAAAUGAGUAAGAUGACCCUGGAAAUUGUGGGUAGGAGCCAGAGAACAAUGAAGAAGCCACACUGACUUACUUGAAUGAGGACGUGAGACAUGCUGUCUUUUCCCCAAAUACUGCAGGAAGAUGCAUAAUCUUUCAUGGCAUCGUCACUGCUAGGAGACUUCUCUUAAAGUCGCUCAGCUGACUUCAUACCUUAGUUCCUGGAAGAAGCUGGUCAGCAGGGGCGGCUCCAUGACCUUCCAGUGUGCAAAGGGCAUUGCUCAGUGCAUCUGGGUAGAUAAUUCUGUGUUUCUGAUUCAUUGCCCUGUUUCUAGUUGUGUUGCCUGCCUUUCUUCCCCUAGGAAAUUCCUAGUAUGUGCUGGUACCCAGCAGAUUUACUCUGAAACAUUUGUACUCCACAGGGCUUUUUUCUUCUUCAUUGACUUUUGGCUUCUGAUUUCAGAACUUCUGCCCCAACUAACUGGUAAACGCGGCUGGAUACCAUCUGGUUUAUGUGCUUCCCAUCACAGAUAACCUACCUCAGGCAGGCCACUUGAUUUUCCUUUCUUUAAGGUCAGCCAGUAUAUGGAGAGCACGAGUGGGAAGCGUUCAGGGGCUUUCUGAAUCUAAAUUAGCUUUCCUCAAAGGGUGGUAUAUGCUAAGCCCUGGAAACAGUGUUUAAGUGAAAGAUAAGUCACCCUGAUGAUAAAAAAUAUACAGAACAACUGCCAUUUAAUGUGCACUUGUAUAGUCUCUAACGCCCCCAACAGUCUUCUGGGAUGUGGACCCCAAAGCGUGAGGGGAUGAAAGAACUUGCUCAAGCCUACACAGCUGGAAAGUGGGUUUGAACCCAGUCCUGCCUGACUUCAGAGUUCACAUUCUUGCCUCUGUGCCAAACUGCCUCCCAGGUGUCCUUGACCAAAGAAAUAAUAUGAAUUGGUUGAAAGGAGGGAUUUUGUGUUGCUUCAAAGGGUAGAGGUGGAAUCACAGAGUGAAGCCAAAGGAGGCAGAUUUCAGUUCAACGUUAAGACAAGACUUUUAACCACGGUAGGUGGCCAAAAAAAUGGGAUGAGCUAUUUUGCAAGCCAGUGAGUUCGUGGCCUAGAGGGAUUCGUUCAAACCCAGGCAAGUGCAAAUCUGUGCUACUGCGCAGAGCAUUCCUGCUUCAGCUGGGAGGUUGGACUGCACAAUUUUUCAGGCUCUCCCAACUCUAAGAGUCUACAGUUCUGUGAUUUUUAGAGGACGUGUCGCAGAAAGGUGACUUCUGUUCCUCAAGCAUGCCAGGUUCAUCCCGGAAGCUGUUGUAGGCCCACACUUGCUGUGAGGCCUCUGGGCUGGUUCUAUCCUCUGCUGAAUGUUCUCUCCCACACGAUUGCCCCCAGGCUAACUUUACCUCCACAUCUUUUCAAAGAGGACUACCCUAUUUAGAAUUUACCCUUCACAAAAAGUGCAUCUCUGCCAGCACUCCCAAUUCCUCUUCCUCUGCUGUAACUUCUUUUUUUAUUUUUUUUGGAGCACUUGUCAUCUCCUUUUAUACUAUGUAAUUUACUUUGUUAAUUCAUUAAUUGUCUAUUGUGUUUCUUCCUCUGCCAGUUCUGUGGGGCCAAGGUUUUUUGUUUUUUUAAAAAAUUUUGCAUCCUGGUACCUAAAUGGCCCGUGUCAUGUUGUAGACAAUCAAUAAAUAUUUGUUGACUAAACGGUGGAACCACGUGGAGAAGUCUGAGCUCAGGCUCUGCU